UUAGGUGAUGAGAGCGGUGGGGUUCCACCUCUUACCAUUCCGAACAGAGAAGUUAAGCCCACCAGCGCCGAUGGUACUACGACAAGUGGGAGAGUAGGUCAUCGCCGUCU
rnacentral:rRNA from 1 species